AGAUGAAAUACAACAGUAUUACCCCUAGUUAUGGUUGAGACCGUGUUGUGAUAGUCUGUAGAUUUCUAUGUUCUGCUUUGUAGACUUGUUGUGUGUGUGGUUGUUUGUCGUUUGUUAGCGAUGACAUUGUCAGAUUGCGUUCAGUUUAUGAGCUUGGAGAUGUCUUAGUUAUAUUCAGAUCUAUUGAGAGUCUCUUUUUUCUACUUAAUUUAGAAUUCCA
rnacentral:lncRNA from 1 species